GAACUGCGAUAAGUAAUGUGAAUUGCAGAAUUCAGUGAAUCACCGAGUCUUUGAACGCACAUUGCGCCCCCUGGCAUUCCGGGGGGCAUGCCUGUCCGAGCGUCAUUGCUGCCCUUCAAGCCCGGCUUGUGUGUUGGGUCGUCGUCCCCUCCGGGGGACGGGCCCGAAAGGCAGCGGCGGCACCGCGUCCGGUCCUCGAGCGUAUGGGGCUUUGUCACCCGCUCGAUAAGGACCGGCCGGGCGCCAGCCGGCGUCUCCAACCUUUUUUUCUCAGGUUGACCUCGGAUCAGGUAGGGAUACCCGCUGAACUUCAGC
rnacentral:misc_RNA from 1 species